rnacentral:rRNA from 1 species
UGCGUAGGCGGCUUGAUAAGUCAGAGGUGAAAGGCUACAGCUCAACUGUAGAAUUGCCUUUGAUACUGUCGAGCUUGAAUCAGGUUGAGGUUGGCGGAAUGUGGCAUGUAGCGGUGAAAUGCAUAGAUAUGCCAUAGAACACCAAUUGCGAAGGCAGCUGACUGGACCUGGAUUGACGCUGAGGCACGAAAGCGUGGGGAGCGAACAGGAUUAGAUACCCUGGUAGUCC